AAACAAGUAUUAUAUUACUACGGCUUUAAAAUAUGCCGUAAAAAAUAACGGUUUUGUGAAGGGUGCAUGUAGCAGUCCUUUUGUGUAGGCUCGGGUCUUAUGCAAUGGAAAUCUGCGAACCGUGUCAGGUCGGGAACGAAGCAGCACUAAGUGGAAUCUUCCAUGUGUUGUAAGGUUGCCUGUUCUUACCAGGAGUAAACGUGCAUGUAUCCUUCUCAGAACCGUUUUUUUU
rnacentral:SRP_RNA from 1 species